rnacentral:tRNA from 1 species
GCCGGUGUAGCUCAGUGGUAGAGCGCUUGACUUGUAAUCAAGCGGUCUGUGGUUCAAUCCCGCACUCCGGCA